AUUGCCUUAGGCGGCAUGCUUUAACAUGCAAGUCGGACGGCAGCACAUAUAAGCUUGCUUCUUGGGUGGCGAGUGGCGAACGGGUGAGUAAUAUAUCGGAACGUACCGAGUAAUGGGGGAUAACUAAUCGAAAGAUUAGCUAAUACCGCAUAUUCUCUGAGGAGGAAAGCAGGGGACCUUCGGGCCUUGCGUUAUUCGAGCGGCCGAUAUCUGAUUAGCUAGUUGGUGGGGUAAAGGCCUACCAAGGCGACGAUCAGUAGCGGGUCUGAGAGGAUGAUCCGCCACACUGGGACUGAGACACGGCCCAGACUCCUACGGGAGGCAGCAGUGGGGAAUUUUGGACAAUGGGCGCAAGCCUGAUCCAGCCAUGCCGCGUGUCUGAGGAAGGCCUUCGGGUUGUAAAGGACUUUUGUCAGGGAAGAAAAGGCUGUUGCUAAUAUCGACAGCUGAUGACGGUACCUGAAGAAUAAGCACCGGCUAACUACGUGCCAGCAGCCGCGGUAAUACGUAGGGUGCGAGCGUUAAUCGGAAUUACUGGGCGUAAAGCGAGCGCAGACGGUUACUUAAGCAGGAUGUGAAAUCCCCGGGCUCAACUGGGGAAAUGGGUUUUAAACCGGUGGACUGGAGGUUUUCGGAGGGAGGUAGAAUUCCACGGGUAGCAGUUAAAUGCGUAGAGAUGUGGGGGAAUACCGAUGGCGAAGGCAGCCUCCCUGGGAUAACAAUGACGUUCAUGCUCGAAAGCGUGGGUAGCAAACAGGAUUAGAUACCCUGGUAGUCCACGCCCUAAACGAUGUCAAUUAGCUGUUGGGCAACUGAUUUGCUUAGUAGCGUAGCUAACGCGUGAAAUUGACCGCCUGGGGAGUACGGUCGCAAGAUUAAAACUCAAAGGAAUUGACGGGGACCCGCACAAGCGGUGGAUGAUGUGGAUUAAUUCGAUGCAACGCGAAGAACCUUACCUGGUCUUGACAUGUACGGAAUCCUCCAGAGACGGAGGAGUGCCUUCGGGAGCCGUAACACAGGUGCUGCAUGGCUGUCGUCAGCUCGUGUCGUGAGAUGUUGGGUUAAGUCCCGCAACGAGCGCAACCCUUGUCAUUAGUUGCCAUCAUUAAGUUGGGCACUCUAAUGAGACUGCCGGUGACAAGCCGGAGGAAGGUGGGGAUGACGUCAAGUCCUCAUGGCCCUUAUGACCAGGGCUUCACACGUCAUACAAUGGUCGGUACAGAGGGUAGCCAAGCCGCGAGGCGGAGCCAAUCUCACAAAACCGAUCGUAGUCCGGAUUGCACUCUGCAACUCGAGUGCAUGAAGUCGGAAUCGCUAGUAAAGGCAGGUCAGCAUACUGCGGUGAAUACGUUCCCGGGUCU
rnacentral:rRNA from 1 species